UACAGAGGGUGCGAGCGUUAAUCGGAUUUACUGGGCGUAAAGCGUGCGUAGGCGGCUUUUUAAGUCGGAUGUGAAAUCCCCGAGCUUAACUUGGGAAUUGCAUUCGAUACUGGGAAGCUAGAGUAUGGGAGAGGAUGGUAGAAUUCCAGGUGUAGCGGUGAAAUGCGUAGAGAUCUGGAGGAAUACCGAUGGCGAAGGCAGCCAUCUGGCCUAAUACUGACGCUGAGGUACGAAAGCAUGGGGAGCGAACAGG
rnacentral:rRNA from 1 species